CAGCCCCAUCCAGCUGCCACCCCAGGCCAGCUCCCUUGACAUAGGAGAAGUUGCUCUGCAGUCCAGGCUUCAACUAUGUCUGAUUAAGAGGGAAGAAGCAUUUCCUGUGGGGACCCACAGCACAGGCUGGGGUGCUGCUAUUGUGGAGAGGGACCAAUUUCUGGACCAGGAUCCCAUUCCUGAACCCUAGACUCACUUACACAUGACAUUAAAAGUCCAAAGCAGGACUGCAGGAAACAGCAAUUUUCUGAAAGCAGUAAAGAUCAACUUAGUCAUGAGACUGAAAAGAGAGGCUAAAAUGAAGAAGGUCUCUCUGAAUGCAACCAAACACAUACUGCAGCAAACCCAGAAGGCUGAAGGUAUGGACACACAAAAAUAGAAGCAGCCAUGACAGCUGAAUCACACAGUUCUAUGAAGUGCAAACCUGGAGUCUGGAUUGUAUUAUCCUUAGACUAGAGCAGAAUGAA